AGUAUUUUACAGGCCAGCCAAGGAAGUAACUGAAUGUACUUGCUUGGAGAAAGAAUAGAAGGCUCAGAGAAGAUGUCCAAGUCUGGUGCACCCCUGCCGCACCAGGCAUAUUAUUCUAGGCUGCUGUGAAAAUGUGGCUGCCAGGGAACGUGAAGGCUCUGGACAAAAUCUGGAUGAUUUUUCUCUUUGGUUUGUGG